rnacentral:rRNA from 1 species
UACGUAGGGGCUAGCGUUGUCCGGAAUCAUUGGGCGUAAAGCGCGCGUAGGCGGCCCGGUAGUCCGCUGUGAAAGUCAAAGGCUCAACCUUUGAAUGUCAGCGGAUACUGCCGGGCUAGAGUCCGGAAGAGGCGAGUGGAAUUCCUGGUGUAGCGGUGGAAUGCGCAGAUAUCAGGAGGAACACCAACGGCGAAGGCAGCUCGCUGGGACGGUACUGACGCUGAGGCGCGAAAGCGUGGGGAGCGAACAGG